CAGCCGCCGCGGUAAUACCGGCGGCCCGAGUGGCGGCCACUAUUAUUGGGCCUAAAGCGUCCGUAGCCGGGCUGGUAAGUCCUCCGGGAAAUCUGGUCGCUUAGCGAUCAGACUUCCGGAGGAUACUGCUGGCCUAGGGACCGGGAGAGGCCGAGGGUAUUCCCGGGGUAGGGGUGAAAUCCUGUAAUCCCGGGAGGACCACCUGUGGCGAAGGCGCUCGGCUGGAACGGGUCCGACGGUGAGGGACGAAGGCCAGGGGAGCGAACCGGAUUAGAUACCCGGGUAGUCCUGGCGGUAAACGAUGCGGACUAGGUGUCGGGCAAGCUAAGGGCUUGUCCGGUGCCGCAGGGAAGCCGUUAAGUCCGCCGCCUGGGGAGUACGGCCGCAAGGCUGAAACUUAAAGGAAUUGGCGGG
rnacentral:rRNA from 1 species